CUUUAAUGAACCCUUCGGGGAGAAUUAAAGCGGAUUAGUGGCGAACGGGUGAGUAACGCGUGAGUAACCUGCCUUACACAAGGGGAUAGCCUUUGGAAACGAAGAAUAAUACCCUAUAAAACCAUAAAGGCACAUGCAAUUAUGGUCAAAGUAUUAGCGGUGUAAGAUGGACUUGCGUCUGAUUAGCUAGUUGGUGAGAUAAAAGCCCACCAAGGCAACGAUCAGUAGCCGGCUUGAGAGAGUGUACGGCCACAUUGGGACUGAGACACGGCCCAGACUCCUACGGGAGGCAGCAGUGGGGAAUUUUGCACAAUGGGGGAAACCCUGAUGCAGCGACGCCGCGUGAUUUAGAAGGCCUUCGGGUUGUAAAAAUCUUUUGUAUAGGAAGAAAAUGACAGUACUAUACGAAUAAGGUCCGGCUAAUUACGUGCCAGCAGCCGCGGUAAUACGUAAGGACCGAGCGUUGUCCGGAAUCAUUGGGCGUAAAGGGUACGUAGGCGGCUAGAAAAGUUAGAAGUCAAAGGCUAUAGCUCAACUAUAGUAAGCUUCUAAAACUAUUUAGCUUGAGAGAUGGAAGGGAAAGUGGAAUUCCUAGUGUAGCGGUGGAAUGCGCAGAUAUUAGGAGGAAUACCGGUGGCGAAGGCGACUUUCUGGCCAUUUUCUGACGCUGAGGUACGAAAGCGUGGGUAGCAAACAGGAUUAGAUACCCUGGUAGUCCACGCCGUAAACGAUGAGUGUUAGGUGUCUGGAGUCAAAUCUGGGUGCCGCAGCAAACGCAUUAAACACCCCGCCUGGGGAGUACGCACGCAAGUGUGAAACUCAAAGGAAUUGACGGGGACCCGCACAAGCAGCGGAGCAUGUGGUUUAAUUCGACGCAACGCGAAGAACCUUACCAAGUCUUGACAUAUUUUAGAAGCAAUUAGAGAUAAUUGCCUAUAUCUUCGGAUAACUAAAAUACAGGUGGUGCAUGGUUGUCGUCAGCUCGUGUCGUGAGAUGUUGGGUUAAGUCCCAUAACGAGCGCAACCCCUAUUGCUAGUUACCAUCAUUAAGUUGGGGACUCUAGUAAUACUGCCGGUGACAAA
rnacentral:rRNA from 1 species